UACGUAGGGGGCAAGCGUUGUCCGGAAUCAUUGGGCGUAAAGCGCGUGUAGGCGGCCCGGUAAGUCCGCUGUGAAAGUCGGGGGCUCAACCCUCGAAUGCCGGUGGAUACUGUCGGGCUAGAGUGCGGGAGAGGCGAGUGGAAUUCCUGGUGUAGCGGUGAAAUGCGCAGAUAUCAGGAGGAACGCCGGUGGCGAAAGCGGCCACCUGGGUCUGACCUGACGCUGAGGUGCGAAAGCGUGGGGAGCAAACCGG
rnacentral:rRNA from 1 species